rnacentral:rRNA from 1 species
GAUGAACGCUGGCGGCGUGCCUAAUACAUGCAAGUUGAGCGCUGAAGGGUGGUACUUGUUCCUACUGGAUUAGCAGCGGACGGGUGAGUAACGCGUGGGUAAUCUGCCUAUGAGCGUGGGACAACAUCUGGAAACCAAUGCUAAUACCGCAUAAUAUCUUUAAACACAUGUUUUAAGAUUGAAAGACGCAAUUGCUUUACUCAAAGAAUAUCUCCCGUUGUAAUAGCUUGUUGGUGAGGUAAAGGCUUAACAAGGCCAAGAUUCCUAACCGAACCGAGAGGGUGGUCGGCCAAAAUGGGACUGGGACACGGCCCAAGAUCCUACAGGAAGGAGCAGGAGGGGAUCUUCGGGAAUGGAGGAAAGUCUGAACGGAGAACGCCGGGUGAGGGGAGAAGGUUCUCCGGUCGGAAAACUCUGUUGGUAGGGGAAGACGUUGGUGGGAAUGAAAAGCGCAUGAAGUGACGGUAACUACCCAGAAAGCCACGGCUAACUACGUG